GUACACUCCUACGGGAGGCAGCAGUGGGGAAUUUUGGACAAUGGGCGAAAGCCUGAUCCAGCAAUGCCGCGUGUGUGAAGAAGGCCUUCGGGUUGUAAAGCACUUUUGUCCGGAAAGAAAUCCUUGGCUCUAAUACAGUCGGGGGAUGACGGUACCGGAAGAAUAAGCACCGGCUAACUACGUGCCAGCAGCCGCGGUAAUACGUAGGGUGCGAGCGUUAAUCGGAAUUACUGGGCGUAAAGCGUGCGCAGGCGGUUUGCUAAGACCGAUGUGAAAUCCCCGGGCUCAACCUGGGAACUGCAUUGGUGACUGGCAGGCUAGAGUAUGGCAGAGGGGGGUAGAAUUCCACGUGUAGCAGUGAAAUGCGUAGAGAUGUGGAGGAAUACCGAUGGCGAAGGCAGCCCCCUGGGCCAAUACUGACGCUCAUGCACGAAAGCGUGGGGAGCAAACAGGAUUAGAAACCCGGGUAGUCCCAUG
rnacentral:rRNA from 1 species